rnacentral:sRNA from 1 species
GGGAUGAGAGCUUGAGCCUGAGUGAUAGUGAUUUUGACAAGCCGGAGAAAUUAUAUUCUCCUAAGAGAAUUGACUUCACUCCAGUUUCUCCAGCACCUUCGCCCACCAGGGGAUUUGGAAAGAUGUUUGUGAGCAGCAGUGGAUUGCCACCAAGUCCAGUUCCCAGUCCAAGACGAUUUUCAAGGAGAAGUCAGAGUCCAGUCAAGUGCAUUAGACCCAGUGUUCUUGGUCCUCUUAAAAGAAAAGGUGAAAUGGAGACAGAAAGUCAGCCCAAGAGACUCUUCCAAGGCACUACCAAUAUGUUAUCUCCAGAUGCCGCGCAAUUGUCUGAUCUCAGUUCAUGUUCAGAUAUUUUGGAUGGCAGUAGUAGCAGCAGUGGCUUAUCCUCAGACCCGCUGGCUAAAGGCAGCGCUACCGCAGAGUCUCCAGUAGCAUGCUCCAAUUCAUGCUCUUCGUUCAUCUUGAUGGAUGAUCUCUCACCCAAGUGGUGUUAUCAAGGAGAAGAAAUUCCUGCCUUGACCAGAUGUGUGGAGCAUCUACAAAUGAAUGAAUAGUUAUUUACACACAAACCACUGUGUACAAAAGCGUCCAUGGAGCUGUCAGUGUCUCGGGUGGUAUUAUGAGGCCUCAGGUGCCUUGGGGUACAUUGUCAUGCUAUAAGGGAUGUAUAUCAUAAGGUAUGGUGGAAGAGGGGCCUUAUGUGUAUGAUUGCCACAUACUGUUUCUGUUGCUGCUUUUUUCCC